UGCGGAGGGUGCAAGCGUUAUCCGGAUUCACUGGGUUUAAAGGGUGCGUAGGAGGGCAGGUAAGUCAGUGGUGAAAUCUUUGGGCUUAACCCGGAAAACUGCCAUUGAUACUAUCUGUCUUGAAUGCGGUGGAGGUGAGCGGAAUAUGUCAUGUAGCGGUGAAAAUGCUUAGAUAAUGACAUAGAACACCGAUUGCGAAGGCAGCUCGCUACACCUGCAUUGACUCUGAGCACAAAGCGUGGGGAUCAAACAGG
rnacentral:rRNA from 1 species